UACGUAGGGUGCGAAGCGUUGUCCGGAAUUAUUGGCGUAAAGAGCUCGUAGGCGGUCUGUCGCGUCGAAUGUGAAAUCUCGGGGCUCAACUCCGAGCUUGCAUUCGAUACGGGCAGGCUAGAGUUCGGUAGGGGAGACUGGAAUUCCUGGUGUAGCGGUGAAAAUGCGCGAUAUCAGGAGGAACACCGGUGGCGAAGGCGGGUCUCUGGGCCGAUACUGACGCUGAGGAGCGAAAGCCGUGGGGAGCGAACAG
rnacentral:rRNA from 1 species